rnacentral:rRNA from 1 species
GAUGAACGCUGGCGGCGUGCCUAACACAUGCAAGUCGAGCGGCAGCGAGGGGUGCUUGCACCCUGUCGGCGAGCGGCGGACGGCUGAGUAGCGCGUGGGAAGGUUCCCAAACUGAAGGAAUAACUGCCCAAAGGGUAUGUUAUUCCCCCAAAUAUUUUUCGGUUAAAGGGAUUUAUCCGUUUUGGGAGCGGCUCGCGUCGGUUUAGGUAUUUGGGGAGGUAAUGGCUCACCAAGCCGACGACCCGUAGCUGGUCUGAGAGGAUGACCAGCCAGACUGGAACUGAGACACGGUCCAGACUCCUACGGGAGGCAGCAGUGAGGAAUCUUCCACAAUGGGCGAAAGCCUGAUGGAGCAACGCCGCGUGCAGGACGAAGGCCUUCGGGUUGUAAACUGCUUUUAUAAGUGAGGAAUAUGACGGUAACUUAUGAAUAAGGAUCGGCUAACUACGUG